UAAAAUUAAAAUUUUUUUAGUUGUCUAAAACACAAAUCGGACGGUUCGAUUUGUGUACUGCAAAUUUUUUUAAAUUUUUAAACACAAAUCGGAGGGCUCUUGACACCACAACUGCGUAAAGCACCCAUACAUUCCAUAACUGUGUCCUACACCACUUCCUCUUCCAUAUCUAAAUUAAAAAGUGCAAUGUUUGGUGCGUGGGAGUAUGCGGAUUCAAUAACUUUUUUUGGUGAAAAUGGGGAGUGUUGAAGAGAUGCAGUCACUCUGCAUUUUUAUGUUGAUGGAGUUCAAUUAGGAACCAAUUAUCUUUCGAGGUGCAAAGGCUUCAAAACAAGAUUGCAAAUAAAUCAAAGGCCAUUGACUAUUUGUGCAACAAACCCCAACUCUAGUGGUAAACAACUACCCAAUGAAGGGUCAAAUUCAAAUUCAAAAGAAACAAGCAAUGCUGGUCAGGGACCUCCUCUCCUUACUAUUUUGGCUGGGCUCUUUGUUUUUUUCAUCGUUUGCUGGGUCAUUGGGUCUAUUAUAAUGUGGCUCGUAAGUUUGAUUGUUAAUUUAUCUCCCAAAUAAUUCUGUGUAUUGCAUUUUAUUGACGCUUUGUUUAACUUACGCAAUUGCAAUUAGUUCGUA